AAAAACACAAAUUAAUAUCCUUGUAUAAUAUCAGUGGUAAUGGUCUGAUAGUUUCUACCUGGCAGCCGAUAAAAUGCUAGACUACAAGGAAGUAUGAAUAAUGA
rnacentral:ncRNA from 2 species